rnacentral:rRNA from 1 species
CCUACGGGAGGCAGCAGUGGGGAAUAUUGGACAAUGGGGGGAACCCUGAUCCAGCGACGCCGCGUGAGUGAAGAAGUAUUUCGGUAUGUAAAGCUCUAUCAGCAGGGAAGAAAAUGACGGUACCUGACUAAGAAGCCCCGGCUAACUACGUGCCAGCAGCCGCGGUAAUACGUAGGGGGCAAGCGUUAUCCGGAUUUACUGGGUGUAAAGGGAGCGCAGACGGCUUGGCAAGUCUGAAGUGAAAGCCCGGGGCUUAACCCCGGGACUGCUUUGGAAACUGUGAAGCUAGAGUGUCGGAGAGGUAAGUGGAAUUCCCAGUGUAGCGGUGAAAUGCGUAGAUAUUGGGAGGAACACCGGUGGCGAAGGCGGCUUACUGGACGAUAACUGACGUUGAGGCUCGAAGGCGUGGGGAGCAAACAGGAUUAGAUACCCUGGUAGUC